rnacentral:rRNA from 1 species
GGACUACUGGGGUUUCUAAUCCCGUUCGAUUCCCACGCUUUCGUGUUUCAGCGUCAGGAGUGUGCCAGUAAAGUGCCUUCGCAUUUGGUGUUCCCCAUGAUAUCAACGGAUUUCACCCCUACACCAUGAGUUCCCUUUACCUCUCACAUCCUCUAAGUCGUGCCGUUUCCUCUGCAUUUUCUGGGUUAAGCCCAAAAACUUUAACAAAAGACUAACACGACCGCCUACACACCCUUUACGCCCAGUGAUUCCGGAUAAUGCUUGGGGCCUCUGUAUUACCGCGGCUGCUGGCAC